rnacentral:misc_RNA from 1 species
GAUGGAAGAACGUAGCGAAAUGCGAUACUUGGUGUGAAUUGCAGAAUCCCGUGAACCAUCGAGUCUUUGAACGCAAGUUGCGCCUCAAGCCAUUAGGUUGAGGGCACGUCUGCCUGGGCGUCACAUAUCGUUGCCUGAUGCCAGUUUCCUCGUGAUGGGUGACUGUGCAGGGCGAAUGAUGGCUUCCCGUGAGCAUUGUUGCCUCAUGGUUGGUUGAAAAUUGAGUCCUUGGUAGGGAGCGCCGUGAUAGAUGGUGGUUGAGUGACGAACGAGACCCAAUCAUGUGAGACCCCUACCGAAUUUGGCCUUCAUGACCCACAUGCGUCUUUGGAACGCUCAUGACGAGACCUCAGGUCAGGCGGGGCUACCCGCUGAGUUUAAGCAUAUCAAUAAGCGGAGGA